GAUGAACGCUGGCGGCGUGCCUAAUACAUGCAAGUCGAGCGAACAGACGAGGAGCUUGCUCCUCUGACGUUAGCGGCGGACGGGUGAGUAACACGUGGAUAACCUACCUAUAAGACUGGGAUAACUUCGGGAAACCGGAGCUAAUACCGGAUAAUAUAUUGAACAGCAUGGUUCAAUAGUGAAAGACGGUUUUGCUGUCACUUAUAGAUGGAUCCGAGCCGCAUUAGCUAGUUGGUAAGGUAACGGCUUAACAAGGCAACGAUGGGUAGCCGACCUGAGAGGGUGAUCGGCCACACUGGAACUGAGACACGGUCGAGACUCCUACGGGAGGCAGCAGUAGGGAAUCUUCCGCAAUGGGCGAAAGCCUGACGGAGCAACGCCGCGUGAGUGAUGAAGGUCUUCGGAUCGGAAAACUCUGUUAUUAGGGAAGAACAAAUGUGUAAGUAACUAUGCACGUCUUGACGGUACCUAAUCAGAAAGCCACGGCUAACUACGUG
rnacentral:rRNA from 1 species